rnacentral:lncRNA from 1 species
UCUUCAGUGGAUACUGUGCCCGAUGUCUUCCAUGGGAACCGCAGACUCCUCAUAAGUUGUGUGUCGGAAUUUUUAUUUCCUCCAUGUUUAACGAUAUCUUCCGGGGCGGAGGCCAUCACGGUGUUGGCACAUGGUUCGAAUUGACGGUGGUGAGAGUGAAUCGUGAUGACGGAUGCAGUAGCCGCGUGAUAUACCCGACUGAAUGUCUUUUACUUUUCGGAUGACGAUUGUGCCAUCCGCCACCACCACCACCGCGUUUGUGUUUGAUUACCCUUGUCCGGUGUCAAACCAUAGAACUUACAUCCGGACCGAAAGGACUUGUGUCUCCGGCUAGUCGCUUUUAAAUGCCGCAGAAAACAAAGUCAGGAGAAGAAAAGGAAGGGCGGCUGACAUUGUGGUCUUGCCGUCUGAUGGAUCCGGUUACGAGUCGAGACGUGAUCGGGAACAGGAAUUUAAGUCGUCUACCAGCGGACGAAGGAAAUGAAUUACGAGAAGGGAGUCGGCAGUCAACAGCUUUGGAAUGCAAAUGACAUUCUAUUCAGUAUGCGGUGCCAUCCACCAUAAUAUUCCGUUGUGGAAAUGUACCCGUCAACCAUCGUAUUUUCAUCCGUCACGCUUGAGGUUUGUUCCUUUUCGGUUGAAGGUGCCUGCGGAUGAACGGCUGAGUGGCGAGAAUUUUCGAUACAGCUAGCCUAUUUAUUCGAUACAGCUAGACUGUUGCGAAUUGCUGAGACCAAAGAUCGCAACACCGACUGUCUCCAUGAUGCUGCAUAAAACAAAGAUGCUGAUGAUUUUCAUAACUGCUCCAGCUUUCAUCUGUUUCAUCUUUCCAGCAGAGAAAACCAUCGCAUUGGAAGGUGUGCCAACAGGCAGCAUGAACGCGUGGCAGCAGCUGAAGGUGACGGGCAUCAUCAGGAUGUAUCUUACAAUCUGGGCUACUAUGGGAAGCAGGAUGGACGCGAUUGCUGUGUUCGAAGCUAUUUCCGUAAUAGCAGAGGUCAGGAAACACAUGAUCAACAGAACGGCGAAUGGAGGCAAAGUAGCCAAAGAAGAAAGAUAGUUGGCAAGCAGAACAGACAGUCCAGAGACUUUAGAAGCGUCGCUGAUGGCGUAGCCGCCUCCUAGAAGAAGAAGAACACUCCACGGGAAUUUUCUCUGAACGUAACUCCAUUCUAGCAAAGCUGGACUGGAGCUGGAUUCUAAAAUAAAAAUAUCACUACCGCACAAGAAAUUAGGUUCUGAUGGCAGGAAUAAAAGCGAGAACAACAACGGCAAUGGCUACAGUGCCGUCCCCAAUCCGGUUCCUAUCAAACGUUGUUCGUUAGUUAAUCCGCCUGUGGCAUGAACUGAGGAUCCUUCGAGACCCACAAAACGAUGAGCAAACCGAAUAGAAACAGAAUGGAUUUCUCGUAGUAGGUCAUUGGUCCUAGCUCUGUGUAUUGGUUGCGAAUGGACGACUUGAUGUCUUCUUUGUUCCUCAUACCACAGUCAUCAUUUGCAGUUGACCUAAAAUGAAUUGACACAUUAAUUUUGUUGUUUCGACAUUGAGCCUCUUUGGUGAUCGUAAUACUUGAAGUCAGCUGCGAACAAGACUUGAAGCCAAAUCCAAGCUAGAAGAGUGGUGAUUAGUGCAACGGGUACACCAAUGGCCAUCCAAGUAGCAAAGCUUAAUCCGGUGUCCGAACCGUACAAGCUAGUGAACCAAUGGAGCUCCGGAGCCGAUCAAGGUGCCAGUUCCACCGAGGCUGGCGGCGUAGCUGACGGCAAUGAGAAAUGGAACUUUGACCUUUAGCUUGAUGUCAUUCGAUCUACUGCUGUCACAUCGAAAUUCAACAAUUAGAUAUCUAAGUAACUAAAUAAUAAAAUGUCAAGACUUUUACCACUGUUUUGUUGGCUGUCCCGUCUCCUGGAGGGUGACGAUAGAGGAAUGUUGAGACGCCAGGCUAUUGGCUCCCAUUUCUACAUCCAUGGAGUCCUAUUAAGAUCAGCUCAUCGACUACCGCAUUCACAAUAGGGAUCAACAUGGCUGUAACUCCGGAGUUGGAGAUCCACAAAGACAGCGACAUACUAACUGACAUGAACCCCAGCAUCAACCUGUUGAAGAGAUAAAGAACAUGUAGCCACAGAUUUGAUCUUUCGACGCCUAGUGCUAGCACGACGCCUCCAAAGAAGACAAUGUUGGAUUGUUUGAUGUAGAGAGCGCAGACUUCGGACGUACUUAGAAUAUCCAACAGCGGGAAAAGUACAAUUGGCAAGAGACUAGUAA